GCUUAUUUCAUGAGGUAAAGAUGCUGCCACUUAAAGAACAAUUGAAUAUGAGAUUAGACAUGGGCACCGGAGCGGACCGCUCUGACACGAAUUGGGCGGUGCCUGGCACGGCAUGAAUUGGGCUGUGCCCGCUUCUUACAGUAACUGACCGUGCUAGGCACUACCUAUAUAAGGGGGCCGGCUGGACUGGAGAUUUUGUGGCCCGCGGUCCAGGCACGGCAC
rnacentral:lncRNA from 1 species